rnacentral:rRNA from 1 species
UACGAAGGGGGCUAGCGUUGUUCGGAAUUACUGGGCGUAAAGCGCGUGUAGGCGGGUCUUAAGUCGGGGGUGAAAUGCCAAGGCUCAACCUUGGAACUGCCUUUGAUACUGGAGACCUUGAGUCCGGGAGAGGUGAGUGGAAUUGCGAGUGUAGAGGUGAAAUUCGUAGAUAUUCGCAAGAACACCAGUGGCGAAGGCGGCUCACUGGCCCGGAACUGACGCUGAGACGCGAAAGCGUGGGGAGCAAACAGG